CAGUCGCCACGGGAACACGUAGGGGGCAAGCGUUAUCCGGAUUUACUGGGUGUAAAGGGAGCGCAGACGGCAGUGCAAGUCUGAGGUGAAAGGCGUGGGCUCAACCCAUGAACUGCUUUGGAAACUGUAUAGCUUGAGUGUCGGAGGGGUAAGCGGAAUUCCUAGUGUAGCGGUGAAAUGCGUAGAUAUUAGGAGGAACACCGGAGGCGAAGGCGGCUUACUGGACGACAACUGACGUUGAGGCUCGAAGGCGUGGGGAGCAAACAGGAUUAGAUACCCCGGUAGUCCCUGUCUCUUAUAC
rnacentral:rRNA from 1 species